ACGGGUGAGUAAUACAUCGGAACGUGCCCAAUCGUGGGGGAUAACGCAGCGAAAGCUGUGCUAAUACCGCAUACGAUCUACGGAUGAAAGCAGGGGAUCGCAAGACCUUGCGCGAAUGGAGCGGCCGAUGGCAGAUUAGGUAGUUGGUGAGGUAAAGGCUCACCAAGCCUUCGAUCUGUAGCUGGUCUGAGAGGACGACCAGCCACACUGGGACUGAGACACGGCCCAGACUCCUACGGGAGGCAGCAGUGGGGAAUUUUGGACAAUGGGCGAAAGCCUGAUCCAGCCAUGCCGCGUGCAGGAUGAAGGCCUUCGGGUUGUAAACUGCUUUUGUACGGAACGAAACGGUCUUUUCUAAUAAAGAAGGCUAAUGACGGUACCGUAAGAAUAAGCACCGGCUAACUACGUGCCAGCAGCCGCGGUAAUACGUAGGGUGCAAGCGUUAAUCGGAAUUACUGGGCGUAAAGCGUGCGCAGGCGGUGAUGUAAGACAGUUGUGAAAUCCCCGGGCUCAACCUGGGAACUGCAUCUGUGACUGCAUCGCUGGAGUACGGCAGAGGGGGAUGGAAUUCCGCGUGUAGCAGUG
rnacentral:rRNA from 5 species